rnacentral:rRNA from 1 species
AACGAACGCUGGCGGCAUGCUUAACACAUGCAAGUCGAACGAGACCGCCGGGCCUUGUUGCGCACGGGUGCGUAACGAGGGGGAACUAGCCCUUAGGUUCGCAACAACUCACUGUAGGGGGUGCUAAUAAAGGUUAAUGUCUUCGGACCUAAGAUUUAUCGCUUUUGGAUGGGGCCGGGUUAGAUUAGCCAGUUGGUAGGGUAAAAGCCGACCAUGGGGACGUUGCAUAGCUGGUCUGAGAGGAUGACCAGUCACACUGGAACUGAGACACGGCCCAGACUCCUACGGAAGGCAGCAGUGGGGAAUAUUGUGCAAGGGACGAAAGCCUGAUACAGCAGUGCGGCGUGAGUGAUGAAGCGCUUAGGGUUGUAAAGCUGUUUUACCCGGGAUGAUAAUGACAGUACCGGGAGAAUAAGCACCGGCUAACUCCGUG